GACGAACGCUGGCGGCGUGCUUAACACAUGCAAGUCGAACGAAGAGCGAUGGAAGCUUGCUUCUAUCACUCUUAGUGGCGAACGGGUGAGUAACGCGUAAUCAACCUGCCCUUCAGAGGGGGACAACAGUUGGAAACGACUGCUAAUACCGCAUACGAUCUAAUCUCGGCAUCGAGGAUAGAUGAAAGGUGGCCUCUACAUGUAAGCUAUCACUGAAGGAGGGGAUUGCGUCUGAUUAGCUAGUUGGAGGGGUAACGGCCCACCAAGGCGAGGAUCAGUAGCCGGUCUGAGAGGAUGAACGGCCACAUUGGGACUGAGACACGGCCCAGACUCCUACGGGAGGCAGCAGUGGGGAAUCUUCCGCAAUGGACGAAAGUCUGACGGAGCAACGCCGCGGGAGUGAUGACGGCCUUCGGGUUGUAAAGCUCGGUUAAUCGGGACGAAAGGCCUUCUUGCGAAUAGUGAGAAGGAUUGACGGUACCGGAAGAGAAAGCCACGGCUAACUACGUG
rnacentral:rRNA from 1 species